UACGUAGGGGCCGAGCGUUGUCCGGAGUUACUGGGCGUAAAGCGCGCGCAGGCGGCUCGUCAAGCCUGACGUGAAAGCCCCCGGCUCAACCGGGGAGGGUCGUCGGGGACUGGCGGGCUUGAAUCCGGGAGAGGGAUGUGGAAUUCCAGGUGUAGCGGUGAAAUGCGUAGAUAUCUGGAGGAACACCGGUGGCGAAGGCGGCAUCCUGGACCGGUAUUGACGCUGAGGCGCGAAAGCUAGGGGAGCAAACGGG
rnacentral:rRNA from 1 species